rnacentral:rRNA from 1 species
AGGGUUCGAUUAUGGCUCAGAACGUACGCUGGCGGCACGCCUAACACAUGCAAGUCGAACGAAGUAGCAAUACUUAGUGGCAGACGGGUGAGUAACAUGUAGGUAUCUGCCCUUUGGCCUGGAAUAACACGAGGAAACUUGUGCUAAUACCGGAUAAGUCUUUACGGAGAAAGCUUUAUGCACCAUUGGAUGAGCCUGCACUUGAUUAGUUUGUUGGUGGGGUAAUGGCCUACCAAGACUAUGAUCAAUAGCUGAUUUGAGAGGAUGAUCAGCCACAUUGGGACUGAGACACGGCCCAAACUCCUACGGGAGGCAGCAGUGGGGAAUCUUGCACAAUGGAGGAAACUCUGAUGCAGCGAUGCCGCGUGAGUGAAGAAGGCCCUUGGGUUGUAAAGCUCUUUCGUCGGGGAAGAAAAUGACUGUACCCGAAUAAGAAGGUCCGGCUAACUUCGUGCCAGCAGCCGCGGUAAUACGAAGGGACCUAGCGUAGUUCGGAAUUACUGGGCUUAAAGAGUUCGUAGGUGGUUGAAAAAGUUGGUGGUGAAAUCCCAGAGCUUAACUCUGGAACUGCCAUCAAAACUUUUCAGCUAGAGUUUGAUAGAGGAAAGCAGAAUUUCUAGUGUAGAGGUGAAAUUCGUAGAUAUUAGAAAGAAUACCGAAUGCGAAGGCAGCUUUCUGGAUCAAUACUGACACUGAGGAACGAAAGCAUGGGUAGCGAAGAGGAUUAGAUACCCUCGUAGUCCAUGCCGUAAACGAUGUGUGUUAGACGUUGGAAAUUAAUUUUCAGUGUCGCAGCGAAAGCAAUAAACACACCGCCUGGGGAGUACGACCGCAAGGUUAAAACUCAAAUGAAUUGACGGGGACCCGCACAAGUAGUGGAGCAUGUGGUUUAAUUCGAAGAUACGCGCAGAACCUUACCAACACUUGACAUGUUCGUCGCGACUUUAAGAGAUUAAAGUUUUCGGUUCGGCCGGACGAAACACAGGUGCUGCAUGGCUGUCGUCAGCUCGUGUCGUGAGAUGUUGGGUUAAGUCCCGCAACGAGCGCAACCCUCACUUUUAGUUGCCAUCAUUAAGUUGGGCACUCUGAAAGAACUGCCAGUGAUAAGCUGGAGGAAGGUGGGGAUGACGUCAAGUCCUCAUGGCCCUUACGUGUUGGGCUACACACGUGCUACAAUGGUAUUUAUAACAGGAAGCAAGACGGCGACGUCGAGCAAAUCCUCAAAAAAUACCUCAGUUCGGAUUGCACUCUGCAACUCGAGUGCAUGAAGCUGGAAUUACUAGUAAUCGUGGAUCAGCGUGCCACGGUGAAUGCGUUCCCGGGUCUUGUACACACCGCCCGUCACACCAUGGGAGUUGGUUCUACCUUAAGGCAAGGUUUUAAACCCUUGACCACGGUAUAGUCAGCGACUGGGGUGAAGUCGUAACAAGGUAACCAAGGG